rnacentral:rRNA from 1 species
GACGAACGCUGGCGGCGUGCUUAACACAUGCAAGUCGAACGGAAAGGCCCUGCUUUUGUGGGGUGCUCGAGUGGCGAACGGGUGAGUAACACGUGAGUAACCUGCCCUUGACUUUGGUAUAACUUCAGGAAACUGGGGCUAAUACCGGAUAGGAGCUCCUGCUGCAUGGUGGGGGUUGGAAAGUUUCGGCGGUUGGGGAUGGACUCGCGGCUUAUCAGCUUGUUGGUGGGGUAGUGGCUUACCAAGGCUUUGACGGGUAGCCGGCCUGGGAGGGUGACCGGCCACAAUGGGACUGAGAGACGGCCCAGACUCCUACGGGAGGCAGCAGGGGGGAAUAUUGCACAAUGGGCGGAAGCCUGAGGCAGAAACGCCGCGUGCGGGAUGACGGCCUUCGGGGUGUAAACCGCUUUCGCCUGUGACGAAGCGUGAGUGACGGUAAUGGGUAAAGAAGCACCGGCUAACUACGUG